rnacentral:lncRNA from 1 species
CUGACUUAUUAGAAAAUACAGGUGUCAAAAACAUAGAAAAAAGUAUGAAUGUAUGCACAAAUCCAUUUUGGAAAGAUGUUUUGAGUGCCUGGAAAGAAAUUGUUGCAUUAAAUAUUGAAUAUACAUGGGAAUAUUUUUUGAAUAUGCCUUUAUGGUUUAAUGAGAAAAUUGAAAUAGAAAAUGAUGUUGUUUUCUACAAAGACUGGUAUGACAAAGGUGUACACAUUGUAAAUGAUUUAUUAGAUGAAGCCGGAGAAUUUUUUUCUCUGACUGAAUUCCAGAAGGUGUAUCAAAUACGUACAGAUUUUCUGAAAUAUUAUGGCUUAUAAUAAUUGUGUUAAACACGUAUUCACAACAGUUUUGUUAAAAUGCUACAUCGCC